GACGAACGCUGGCGGCGUGCUUAACACAUGCAAGUCGAGCGGUAAGGCCCUUUCGGGGGUACACGAGCGGCGAACGGGUGAGUAACACGUGGGUGACCUGCCCUUAGCUCUGGGAUAAGCCUGGGAAACUGGGUCUAAUACCGGAUAUGACUCCAUAACGUCAUGUUUGUGGGGUGGAAAGCCUUGUGCGGCUAGGGAUGGGCCCGCGGCCUAUCAGCUUGUUGGUGGGGUGAUGGCCACCAAGGCGACGACGGGUAGCCGGCCUGAGAGGGCGACCGGCCACACUGGGACUGAGACACGGCCCAGACUCCUACGGGAGGCAGCAGUGGGGAAUCUUGCGCAAUGGGCGAAAGCCUGACGCAGCGACGCCGCGUGGGGAUGAC
rnacentral:rRNA from 1 species